rnacentral:tRNA from 2 species
CGGAGCGUGGCGCAACCUGGUAGCGCACCUGCUUUGGGAGCAGGGGGUUGCCGGUUCGAAUCCGGCCGCUCCGACCA